GUGUCAGCAGCCGCGGUAAGACGGAGGAGGCUAGCGUUGUUCGGAAUUACUGGGCGUAAAGCGUACGCAGGCGGUUGAUCAAGUCAGGUGUGAAAGCCCGGGGCUCAACCUCGGAAUUGCGCCUGAGACUGGUCAGCUAGAGUUCGGAAGAGGUGAGUGGAAUUCCCAGUGUAGAGGUGAAAUUCGUAGAUAUUGGGAAGAACACCAGUGGCGAAGGCGACUCUCUGGUCCGAUACUGACGCUCAAGUACGAAAGCGUGGGGAGCAAACAGGAUUAGAUACCCUGGUAGUCC
rnacentral:rRNA from 1 species